rnacentral:rRNA from 1 species
AUUGAACGCUAGCGGGAGGCUUUACACAUGCAAGUCGAACGAGUGGCGGACGGGUGAGUAAUAUAUCGGAACGUGCCCAAUAGCGGGGGAUAACUACUGGAAAGAGUGGCUAAUACCGCAUACAAUUAGACCUGCCGAUAUCUGAUUAGCUAGUUGGUGGGGUAACGGCUCACCAAGGCAACGAUCCGUAGCUGGUUUGAGAGGACGACCAGCCACACUGGGACUGAGACACGGCCCAGACUCCUACGGGAGGCAGCAGUGGGGAAUUUUGGACAAUGGGGGAACGCCUGAUCCAGCCAUCCCGCGUGUAUGAGAAGGCCUUCGGGUUGUAAAGUACUUUUGGCAGAGAAGCGGUAUCUGCAGAAUAAGCACCGGCUAACUCCGUGCCAGCAGCCGCGGUAAUUC